rnacentral:rRNA from 1 species
CACAUGCAAGUCGAACGCCCCGCAAGGGGAGUGGCAGACGGGUGAGUAACGCGUGGGAACCUACCUAGAGGUGCGGAAUAGCCCAGGGAAACUUGGAGUAAUACCGCAUAAGCCCGCAAGGGGAAAGAUUUAUCGCCUUUAGAUGGGCCCGCGUCUGAUUAGCUAGUUGGUGAGGUAAUGGCUCACCAAGGCGACGAUCAGUAGCUGGUUUGAGAGAAUGACCAGCCACACUGGGACUGAGACACGGCCCAGACUCCUACGGGAGGCAGCAGUGGGGAAUCUUGGACAAUGGGGGCAACCCUGAUCCAGCCAUGCCGCGUGAGUGACGAAGGCCUUAGGGUUGUAAAGCUCUUUUGGCGGGGACGAUAAUGACGGUACCCGCAGAAUAAGUCCCGGCUAACUUCGUGCCAGCAGCCGCGGUAAUACGAAGGGGACUAGCGUUGUUCGGAAUUACUGGGCGUAAAGCGCACGUAGGCGGAUUUGUUAGUCAGGGGUGAAAUCCCGGGGCUCAACCUCGGAACUGCCUUUGAUACUGCAAGUCUUGAGUCCGGAAGAGGUGAGUGGAAUUCCUAGUGUAGAGGUGAAAUUCGUAGAUAUUAGGAAGAACACCAGUGGCGAAGGCGGCUCACUGGUCCGGUACUGACGCU